rnacentral:rRNA from 1 species
CUAAAGAUUCAUCGCUGAUAGAUAGGCAUGCGUUCCAUUAGGCAGUUGGCGGGGUAACGGCCCACCAAACCGACGAUGGAUAGGGGUUCUGAGAGGAAGGUCCCCCACAUUGGUAUUGAGACACGGACCAAACUCCUACGGGAGGCAGCAGUGAGGAAUAUUGGUCAAUGGGCGUAAGCCUGAACCAGCCAAGUCGCGUGAGGGAUGAAGGUUCUAUGGAUCGUAAACCUCUUUUAUAAGGGAAUAAAGUGUGGGACGUGUCCUAUUUUGUAUGUACCUUAUGAAUAAGGAUCGGCUAACUCCGUGCCAGCAGCCGCGGUAAUACGGAGGAUCCGAGCGUUAUCCGGAUUUAUUGGGUUUAAAGGGUGCGUAGGCGGCCUUUUAAGUCAGCGGUGAAAGUCUGUGGCUCAACCAUAGAAUUGCCGUUGAAACUGGGAGGCUUGAGUAUGUUUGAGGCAGGCGGAAUGCGUGGUGUAGCGGUGAAAUGCUUAGAUAUCACGCAGAACCCCGAUUGCGAAGGCAGCCUGCCAAGCCAUGACUGACGCUGAUGCACGAAAGCGUGGGGAUCAAACAGGAUUAGAUACCCUGGUAGUCCACGCAGUAAACGAUGAUCACUAGCUGUUUGCGAUACACUGUAAGCGGC